rnacentral:rRNA from 1 species
CACGUAGGCACCAAGCGUUGUCCGGAUUUAUUGGGCGUAAAGAGCUCGUAGGCGGUUGAGUAAGUCGGGUGUGAAAACUCUGGGCUUAACCCAGAGCCGCCACCCGAUACUGCUCUGACUUGAGUUCGGUAGGGGAGCAGGGAAUUCCUAGUGUAGCGGUGAAAUGCGCAGAGUAUUAAGGAGGAACACCGGUGGCGAAGG